GACGAACGCUGGCGGCGUGCUUAACACAUGCAAGUCGAACGGAAAGGCCCUGCUUUUGUGGGGUGCUCGAGUGGCGAACGGGUGAGUAACACGUGAGUAACCUGCCCUUGACUUUGGGAUAACUUCAGGAAACUGGGGCUAAUACCGGAUAGGAGCUCCUGCUGCAUGGUGGGGGUUGGAAAGUUUCGGCGGUUGGGGAUGGACUCGCGGCUUAUCAGCUUGUUGGUGGGGUAGUGGCUUACCAAGGCUUUGACGGGUAGCCGGCCUGAGAGGGUGACCGGCAACAUUGCGACUGAGAUACGGCCCAGACUCGUACGGGAGGCAGCAGUGGGGAAUAUUGAACAAUGGGCGGAAGCCUGAUGCAGCAACGCCGCGUGCGGGAUGACGGCCUUCGGGUUGUAAACCGCUUUAGCCUGUGACGAUGCGUGAGUGACGGUAAUGGGUAAAGAAGCACCGGCUAACUACGUG
rnacentral:rRNA from 1 species